UGACAGUACUCCUACGGGGAGGCAGCAGUGGGGGAAUAUUGCGCAAUGGACGAAAGUCUGACGCAGCGACGCCGCGUGGAGGAUGAAGGUUUUCGGAUCGUAAACUCCUGUCAAGAGGGAAGAAACCUAUCAUGAAUAAUACUUAUGGUAAUUGACGGUACCUCUAGAGGAAGCACCGGCUAAUUCAGUGCCAGCAGCCGCGGUAAUACUGAAGGUGCAAGCGUUAAUCGGAAUCACUGGGCGUAAAGCGCUCGUAGGUGGCUUUGUAAGUCAGGUGUGAAAGCCCACGGCUCAACCGUGGAAUUGCACUUGAUACUGCAUCGCUAGAGUAUAGGAGAGGGAAGUGGAAUUUCUGGUGUAGGAGUGAAAUCCGUAGAGAUCAGAAGGAACACCCGUGGCGAAGGCGACUUCCUGGACUAUUACUGACACUGAGGAGCGAAAGCGUGGGGAGCAAACAGGAUUAGAUACCCUGGUAG
rnacentral:rRNA from 1 species